UUUUCCUACGGGGGGCAGCAGUAGGGAAUCUUCGGCAAUGGACGAAAGUCUGACCGAGCAACGCCGCGUGAGUGAAGAAGGUUUUCGGAUCGUAAAACUCUGUUGGUAGAGAAGAACGUUGGUGAGAGUGGAAAGCUCAUCAAGUGACGGUAACUACCCAGAAAGGGACGGCUAACUACGUGGCAGCAGCCGCGGUAAUACGUAGGUCACGAGCGUUGUCCGGGUUUAUUGGGCGUAAAGCGAGCGCAGGAGGUUUAUUAAGUCUGGGGUAAAAGGAAGUGGCUCAACCAUUGUAUGCAUUGGAA
rnacentral:rRNA from 1 species